AGAAACAGAAGUUUCGAGUACCCCUCCUAAAGAUCAAAGUCGCUACACACGGUGCAAAUCUCUCGGUCUCUCUCCCGACGCGAGAGGCGGUUUCCAGGCGGGCUGCCUCCGCUGGUCUCCAUCGCCUCCGGUAAGCCGUCGGGCUCUCGGAGGUGUGCGGGACAGUGUACGACCGUGAUGCGGUUGUAGAUAAUGUUGUUUUAGGAUUUUAUUCUGGCACUGGCGGGCAGGCAGGGGCGACGUCAAUGCUAUGGGAUAAGGUUCCCCCUGGCUCCUUUCCCGUCUCUGCGGUGCUCCCUCCGGCCGGUGGCACUGUGGGGUUAGGGAGGUUGGCCUCUCUCUUAUCCAGCGAGGUUUGGUCGGUGAUGGGGGUGCACAAUAGUAUAGAAGUUGGGAUUUGUGGAGAGGGAUUCCCAGAUCAGGUCGCCUCGGACGGCCGACAGCUGCACACUGUUGCGGGCGAAGUGGUUUGAGUUGCGGCUCCACUCCGUCGUAGGCUACCGCUGGUCAAGGGAUCACUUGGUCUACCCCAGGCCGAUGCACCGGAACCCUCCCUGGUUCCGUCUUUUGGGGCGGGACUUAUAUGCGGCUCACAAAGCCAUGGAUCGGUGAUGCUGCUCCUCAUGCCCGUUGUCUUGUGGAUGACGGCUAGCACCGGCGAGUGCAGAGAUCAGCGUGCCUAGGUGAAUAAGGAAGAUGAACUGGGCUGUAAGUUACUUUGUUUGCUCUGUCGGUGUUAUUCCCUUUAGUGUUAUCUCUGCCUCUCUAGUUCUCAAGCUCCAACGACAUGCCCUUUUUUGUGCUGGCCAUGGAGGCUAGCAGCGGCAGGACUGCCAUGACUAGGCCGCGCAAUAUUUCUAACAGUGUUGAGCUACUCGUUCCCGACAGCUCCGAUGCCAAGCUGCCAAUAGAAGCAGAGCAGAUUUCAGGAUAUAGAAGGCAGCUUCAGGAAGGGGUCGCUGACGAGAGAAAUAAGUACUGAAGCAGGCUUCACCGAAGACUACUGAUCUAGAAUUGUCUGUUGCUGAAAUAAGUCCAGGAGCUAUGGAGCAGGCUGAACAAUUUUCUGUUGAUUUUACUCAAUGGAUUGUCCCUGUAAUUUGACCAAACGUCAUGUCGCCGUGCCACUGAAGUUUUUGCACAGAAUUCUUGUCUUUUUGGGUGGUGCCAAGCUGUCUUUUUGUUGAACAAUGCCACAAUUGCAUAGUUGUAAGUUAUUUAGGAUUGUCUCUAUUGCAUACGACCUGGAGUUACAAGAGGUCCAGUACUAAUUUUGUGUAUGUAUGUACAUGUGCAGUCGCCCAUUUUCUAUACACAUGAUUCCAAAACAUCUUUUACUGUACAUUUUGUUUCUUUGCUCGGUACAAAAUGUAUUGCAAGUGUUGUUCAUUUUUUUCCCUUCUGUAAAUAUACUAGAGACCCUCUAAGGGCUCAGUUUUCUUCC